GAUGAACGCUGGCGGCGUGCCUAAUACAUGCAAGUCGAGCGAACAGAUGAGGAGCUUGCUCCUCUGACGUUAGCGGCGGACGGGUGAGUAACACGUGGAUAACCUACCUAUAAGACUGGGAUAACUUCGGGAAACCGGAGCUAAUACCGGUAAAUAUAUUGAACCGCAUGGUUCAAUAGUGAAAGACGGUUUUGCUGUCACUUAUAGAUGGAUCCGCGCCGCAUUAGCUAGUUGGUAAGGUAACGGCUUACCAAGGCAACGAUGCGUAGCCGACCUGAGAGGGUGAUCGGCCACACUGGAACUGAGACACGGUCCAGACUCCUACGGGAGGCAGCAGUAGGGAAUCUUCCGCAAUGGGCGAAAGCCUGACGGAGCAACGCCGCGUGAGUGAUGAAGGUCUUCGGAUCGUAAAACUCUGUUAUUAGGGAAGAACAAAUGUGUAAGUAACUAUGCACGUCUUGACGGUACCUAAUCAGAAAGCCACGGCUAACUACGUG
rnacentral:rRNA from 1 species